rnacentral:lncRNA from 1 species
UGUCCCAAGAUAUUGCACCCAACAACAUCAAGAUAAUAGGCUGCGAUGAUUUAGAAAAUUCUCUUCCUCCAAUCUGGGCAUAGGUUCUCAAAGCUAAAUUACUUCGGGUGGAGCACACCAAGUGCUGAGCAAACAGAUUUCCAAAUGGCAGAGAUGAACUCGCAUGUUGAAAACAAAUGAUCCAUGGUUUCCCUUGCCUCAUUUCAAAGUGCACACCCUCUG